AUUGAACGCUGGCGGCAGGCCUAACACAUGCAAGUCGAGCGGAUGAAGGGAGCUUGCUCCUGGAUUCAGCGGCGGACGGGUGAGUAAUGCCUAGGAAUCUGCCUGGUAGUGGGGGAUAACGUCCGGAAACGGGCGCUAAUACCGCAUACGUCCUGAGGGAGAAAGUGGGGGAUCUUCGGACCUCACGCUAUCAGAUGAGCCUAGGUCGGAUUAGCUAGUUGGUGGGGUAAAGGCCUACCAAGGCGACGAUCCGUAACUGGUCUGAGAGGAUGAUCAGUCACACUGGAACUGAGACACGGUCCAGACUCCUACGGGAGGUAGCAGUGGGGAAUAUUGGACAAUGGGCGAAAGCCUGAUCCAGCCAUGCCGCGUGUGUGAAGAAGGUCUUCGGAUUGUAAAGCACUUUAAGUUGGGAGGAAGGGCAGUGAGUUAAUACCUUGCUGUUUUGACGUUACCAACAGAAUAAGCACCGGCUAACUUCGUG
rnacentral:rRNA from 1 species